AGUGAACGCUGGCGGUAGGCCUAACACAUGCAAGUCGAACGGCAACACAGUAAGAGCUUGCUCUUACGGGUGGCGAGUGGCGGACGGGUGAGGAAUACAUCGGAAUCUACUUUUUCGUGGGGGAUAACGUGGUGAAACUUACGCUAAUACCGCAUACGACCUACGGGUGAAAGCAGGGGAUCUUCGGACCUUGCGCGAUUGAAUGAGCCGAUGUCGGAUUAGCUAGUUGGCGGGGUAAAGGCCCACCAAGGCGACGAUCCGUAGCUGGUCUGAGAGGAUGAUCAGCCACACUGGAACUGAGACACGGUCCAGACUCCUACGGGAGGCAGCAGUGGGGAAUAUUGGACAAUGGGCGCAAGCCUGAUCCAGCCAUACCGCGUGGGUGAAGAAGGCCUUCGGGUUGUAAAGCCCUUUUGUUGGGAAAGAAAAGCAGCAGGUUAAUACCCCGCUGUUCUGACGGUACCCAAAGAAUAAGCACCGGCUAACUUCGUG
rnacentral:rRNA from 1 species